CUGGCUCAACUGCUUGCGUGAGAACGAGAGGAGUUCAAGACUGGAUAACCAGAUUGCCUGGGAUAGAUAAAGAGAAUAUGUUGAUUUUGAAGGUGAUGUCAGUGCUUUGUUCCAUCUGUUGAUAACUUGGACAGACAAGGUCGGAUAAAGCAUUCUACCGGCAGAACCUCCCAAACGUGACAAAUUUGUGAACAACAAUCUUGAUCUUCCCCAAUUCCAAGGGUCCGGCAUUGUCCUACCAGUUAGUAAAGAAUGCUCGGGGACAACAGGGUUCACAUCUUAUUAAGUUGUUCUACACCUCUAACAUGCCCAUCAUUCUGCAGUUUGCUCUUGUAUACAACCUUUACCUUAUCUCCCAGAUAUGGUUGCUUCCAAUCCUUUCCAUGAAAUGUUUUAUCUUGUAUUUAUGCCGACUUGGAUUGAAGUGUCUGGAUCCUCAUUUAGAGAUGUGGCUAAACAGCUCCAGGACAUUAGGAUAUCAGCGGUUGAAUGUGCAUAUGCUGAUAAAUCAAAACCACUGAAUGAUGACUAUUAUCACUACAUGAUUGAUGAAAUUAUGGAUGCAAGUGCGAUGUUAUGCGAUAAAAAUGGAGUACUUGGAGAUGUUUCAAGAGGUGACAUAGUGUCCCAAAGCUUAUGUAAUUUCUUAGAGUGACAGUAGAUUGAAUUUAAUUUUAAUGAUUAUGUGAAUGUAGAUUGAAUUCGC